rnacentral:rRNA from 1 species
UACGGAGGGUGCAAGCGUUAAUCGGAAUUACUGGGCGUAAAGCGUGCGCAGGCGGUUUGUUAAGUCUGUUGUGAAAUCCCCGAGCUCAACUUGGGAAUUGCAAUGGAUACUGGCAGGCUGGAGUAUGGUAGAGGAAGGUGGAAUUCCCGGUGUAGCAGUGAAAUGCGUAGAGAUGUGGAGGAACACCGAUGGCGAAGGCAGCCCCCUGGGUCAAGACUGACGCUCAUGCACGAAAGCGUGGGGAGCAAGCAGG